rnacentral:rRNA from 1 species
GACAGAGGGUGCAAACGUUGUUCGGAAUUACUGGGCGUAAAGCGCGUGUAGGCUGCCUUGCAAGUCGGAUGUGAAAGCCCUGGGCUCAACCUAGGAAGUGCACUCGAAACUGCGAAACUGGAGUCCUGGAGAGGAAGGCGGAAUUCUCGGUGUAGAGGUGAAAUUCGUAGAUAUCGAGAGGAACACCGGUGGCGAAGGCGGCCUUCUGGACAGUGACUGACGCUGAGACGCGAAAGCGUGGGGAGCAAACAGG